CUCUGAUUAGGGGUGUUGCUGCCCUGCAGUGUGUAGCUUUAAGGAGCUCUGGCUGUAUGGAAAUUGGGAGGAUCCUGCUAUAUGAUGCCUCCUGACUACGUUGCUGGUUGCAAAUCCCAGAAUCUGUUGGCCUCAGAGCGUUGCCCAAGGGUAUCUUGGCACAGAAGAGAACUUUGAACAAGCCAAUGUGCCCAUCUUCCACAAGAAGCARGUGGCACCAAGGGUUCCCACCCCAAUGGGGAUGUUGACAGCUCUUCCUUCGGUUCCUAACGGAGUCGUCCCGAGCAGAGCCAGCCCUGCAAGACGACCUUUAUUUAAAGGACAGAAGCCAUAGCACUGAAUCAAUGUCUCUGUGCUGGGAGCGCUGCAUUGCAGCGUCAGCAUCGGGAAUGAUCCCAGCCAUAGCCGGUGUCUCGAUGUGCCAGGACCUACAGACCCGGGCGCAAGCGUGGUUGCGUUGACGCUCAAGCAAUGUCAUCGAUAUUAUAUAGCAGCUAUGGAUACUGGACUUGUGGAUUUGUAGAAACUACUAGUGCUCUUAAUUCAGCCUGGAGGUUGUUUAACAGGGAGAUUUGGUAAGCAGUGCGAGUCUUCUGCUUUAUUUACUGGUAGUUUGGUCCACAGAUCCUCCAAAAUUCUCCUGACAUGGAUGAGCUAAGAUAUGUCACUCUGUUCCCAGCUCCCGGGCCUUGGAGGGUCUCUCCAGCUCGUGUCAGCUGAGCUAUAACUCGCACUAAGGCACUGCAGGAAGGUUUAUGGCUUAGUUUUUCUCUUGCAUUGGCACCUGGAAGACCCAGCAGUCUUAUCCCAUCAUACAUGGUCUAGGAAAAUCAGUCUUGUGGAUUCUUUGCAAGCAUGAGACAAAAUGUGACUAAGAAAUGCAACUUCAUACGUAUUCUACCAUAUGUUUGCUAUGUGAAAUUUCUAAUAAAGUAUCAGUUUCUGUAACAGUGCAAAGGUUCUCUGAAAAGGACUGUUCAUCUUAGCUGCUCCAGGAAAAAACUCCCCAAAGAGAUUGUACAAGGCUCCUGGAUCCAGACGGCUGAACUGUGGUURUUAAGACCUAAAAUUAUUGCUGUGCUAUUGCUGCUGGUAGCUAACAGCAGGAAAAUCACCGGACAACAGACAUUGGCAGUGACUUCAGCAGGAGCUUGGUGGCUUUGGCUGUCUUCAUUGCAGCCCCUUCCAGUGAAUUUCAGCACCGUUCAAAUGUCCUCUUGAAGAGUAUAAAUGCUUCCAAAAYGAGGUGGAAAAACCUUCAGCACUCUAGCUAAUAGCACAUCAGAGGAAAUGCCUGGCUGCUACUGUAACCUCAGUAGGCAUCUUUACAUGGGAGGACAUAAACUGUCUCUGAAUUAUUUAUUGAACCAAAGACAUCAAAUUGGACAAUUAACCUUGAAAACUUAAUUUAAGCACCAUAAAAGAAGCAUCUCCUGGGAGCAGGGGGGAAAAAAGUGUCCUUAGUAAGUCAGAAGAGCAAAAUGUAGCAGGUUAUGCCAUGGUCCAUUGCAGGAGAUUGGACCARUUCUGGCCACUUCAGUGUGUUUGUGCCCAUGAAUCGAUUAGUGUGAGAGGUAAUUUGGCCAUAACACGGUGAUUUGGAGAGCAGGGUGGAUGUCUCCUUAGAAGAGUCUUCCUCUCAAGGACAUUCCCUUGCUGUGUUCCAACAGGAGCUGGGAAAUGCUGGAGACUCUGGCACAAAUCCAUGCCUAAGCUGAACAGCCCCCAAAACCAAAUGCUUUACAGUCCCCAGAAACUGUAGUUUCUGAUUCACUCAGACUGAGUGAAGAAGGGGAGGUAUCAUAGGUGGCUGGGACAAGAAAGGAGAUGAAGGUUGGGAGRUGUCUUCAGGCCCUUGUGUAACAGGGAUUGGGGAAGAAGAGACUGAGCAUGGGAGGUUUUACUGGAAACUUCUUGUGUUUCAGUUGGGAGGCAAAGGGGAGUUUUCUUUUUCCCCUCGUUUCAUCCUGCUUUGGAUCAGUCCUGGUGUCCCAGCURUGUCCGUGACGCCACGCUCCUCUACCACUGCUAAAUGGUGGAAGCUGCAGAAGACUCAAACAAUUUAUUCUGUUUAAUUUCCUCCACAAAGGUGUUUUAUCCUCACUAAUAAAAAGAGUGGAACUUGAUCAUUUCUAAAAUAUUGUCCCUUCUAAAUCUUUAUGGCUCAAAGUGGACUGAGAUCAUUAGAAGUUACUUUAUGUGCAGCUCAAUCAGCUCCAAAGGGCUAUCUCAGUCACUUCAUGCUUGCUGAGAGCAGAUCCCAUUUCCCAGAGGCAAAAGGACAAUACU